AUAUGAUUACGCAGCAGAUAACCCAGAGAUGGCGUCGAUACUUGAUGGUAUCACCUUUGAAGAAUUGUGGAAUUUUCUUCACUCUGCACCGGCAAAAAACGAGGCAGAUAUAAAGGCAUGUCAAUUUCUUGCCACUCUACUUGGAGGAGGAGAAGGUGACAAA
rnacentral:lncRNA from 1 species